rnacentral:rRNA from 1 species
UUACUGGGCGUAAAGCGUGCGCAGGCGGUUUGCUAAGUCAGAUGUGAAAGCCCCGGGCUCAACCUGGGAAUCGCAUUUGAAACUGGCAAACUAGAGUCUUGUAGAGGGGGGUAGAAUUUCAGGUGUAGCGGUGAAAUGCGUAGAGAUCUGAAGGAAUACCGGUGGCGAAGGCGGCCCCCUGGACAAAGACUGACGCUCAGGCACGAAAGCGUGGGGAGCAAACAGGAUUAGAUACCCUGGUAGUCCACGCCGUAAACGAUGUCUACUCGGAAUUUGGUCUCUUGAAGACUGGGUUCUCAAGCUAACGCAUUAAGUAGACCGCCUGGGGAGUACGGCCGCAAGGUUAAAACUCAAAUGAAUUGACGGGGGCCCGCACAAGCGGUGGAGCAUGUGGUUUAAUUCGAUGCAACGCGAAGAACCUUACCUACUCUUGACAUCCUCAGAACUUUCCAGAGAUGCGAUUAGUGCCUUCGGGAACUGUGAGACAGGUGCUGCAUGGCUGUCGUCAGCUCGUGUG